AACUGGGGCGCAGGUCGGAGCCUCGGGCUCCGUGGAGCCUUGUUGGGAGUGCCGAGCCACGGGGGACCGCCCUGUAAGUAGGGCUGUGCCUGUCCCCUGGGCUUGGCAGGACCCCCUGUAAUCAGGCGGGUGCCCCUGGCCGCGGCCUUUCAGAGGCAUGGGGCCGGGAUGUGUGUGGGCCUUUGGCCGUGAAGCUCUGCGGCCUGGCUGUUGAGUGAGUCUCAUUCCUGUUGCUGUGGGGGAAGGCCGAGCUCUCUGGCUCCCUGGGUGUCGACCUGCCUGUAACCAGGGUCCGGGUCUGGGAGCCUUUGUGCUCCACUGGCAGCCUGUGUGGGGUGACCGCCCCGUUAGCGGGUGCAGGUCAGGGUGCCCCUGAAUCAGAGAGGAGCCUCUGAGGGCCUUUGGGACCAGGGCUGCCCCGUAAGUCAGCCCUGGGCGUGCCCUGGCAGUGCCAAGCCGAGGGCGACCACCCUGUAAAUAGGGCUGUGCGUGUCCCCUGCAGUUGGCAGGAUGUGCUGGGAGGGACCCCCUGUAGUCAGGUGGGUGUCCCUGGUCCUGGCCCUUCAAGGGCAAAAAUUUGGAAGUUGUAUCUUCUUAACACAGAAUUGGAAUGGCUUCUAAAAACCCAGGGAACGGCAUUGAGCCAAGUACCUCCCCCAAAGUCAUAAAAACCUUCCCAAAAGUGCCAAGGAUGCUCUUGUUUGACUGCAUCCCUGGUGACAGGGAGCUCCCUUUGCUUAGAGUGCCUCUCUUUGCUUUUCUCUUUCCCUUUCUUCAGCCUGCCGCUCCUCCUCCUAUUCGCUCUUGCCUCGUGGUUCCACACACACGUUUGAUGCCUGUUCUUUCUUUCUUUCUUUCUUGUCUAGGAGUUGUUGCUGGGGGGGACGGUGCAGUCUUUUCACAGGAGCGCAAGCGCCUCCGCCCGGAGAACAGGGGGAAGCCGGCCCUCGGAGAGACCUCCCCACGGCGGUCCCCGGUCCCUGGUUUCUGGCCGUCCUUCCCCCCUUCGCCCCCUACUCCCCUUGGCUUAGACAUCUUGGGCGCCGCGUGGUGCCCAGCAUCCUGGGGGCUUUACAGAGGAGAGGCCCUGGCCCUGUUUCUGGGGGGGGCGGCCCAGUUCAACGCCAUUAAGCCCAGUGCCAGGGCUUCCUGGGCAGGACCCGGGCCCUGCUUGCAGGCCCGUGGAAAGGGCCCCUUCCCCCCCAGCUUUUGCCUUCCCCAGGGGUUCCCUUUCUCCCCAGCUGAGAGCAAAGGGAAAGGGGACCAGGGCACGAUAGGGUAGGGCAGGGCAGGGCAGGGCAGCGCAGCAGGUUUAGGGUGGCAAGCGUCACUUGCAGGCCCCAAACACCAGCCACUUCCCAAACAGCUGCUCUGCAUUGAAGCGGCAGCUUCUCCCAAGUGGCAAGGAACCCACCUCAGAACGUUCUUCUGCCCAAGCCCCUAAAAUCUCCCGGGAAAAGCCCUUGCUAGUCACCAGCCACUGCUGCCGAGUCUCCUGCCUUCAGGGCAGAAAGUACACUCUUAAUAGUGCUCUGCUGGCAGCCGGUGUGGGGUGACCGCCCCAUUAGUGGGUGCGGGUCAGGGUGUCCCUGAAUCGGAGAGAAGGAGCCUCUGAGGGCCUGUGGGACCAGGGCUGCCCUGUAAGUCAGGGCCAGACCAGUGCCCUGCAGUCCCAGGCACUUUGAAUUCCAGGCAGCGGCUCGAGCCCCCUGUAAGCAGGGGUGCAGGCUCUUUGGCCGCCACUGUGCAUGCCUAGCUCCAUUUGCCCAGGGUGCCUACCUCCGAGCCCAGCUCUGGCACCAGCUGGAACUCCACAGGCGGCAGCGCUGGGACUGGAACACCAAUGUGCAGCUGCUGGUGGAGCCGUCGUUUGUGGAAGGAACCGCCAGGCAAGAGCGAGGGAGAAGAGGAGCGGCAGCAGACUGAAGAAAGGGCACGAGAAAGGCACUCUUGGGCAGGGGAUCUCCCUGUCUUCGGAGCUGCGGUCGCCUAAAGCAUCCCUGGCCCUUUGGGGAUGUUUUCUGCGCCUCUGGAGCAGCACCUGCACGGGCGAGGAAGCCGCUGGACCUCAGCCUCUGGAAGAAGAUGUUCCUUCUCCCUGUCCCGAAACAGCUUCUG